rnacentral:rRNA from 1 species
CCUACGGGAGGCAGCAGUGGGGAAUAUUGCACAAUGGGGGAAACCCUGAUGCAGCGAUGCCGCGUGGAGGAAGAAGGUUUUCGGAUUGUAAACUCCUUUUAUCAGGGACGAAGUAUGACGGUACCCUGUAAGAAAGCCCCGGCAAACUACGUGCCAGCAGCCGCGGUAAUACGUAGGGGGCUAGCGUUGUCCGGAAUUACUGGGCGUAAAGGGAGUGUAGACGGCUUGUCAAGUUAAGUGUGAAAGCCUGCGGCUUAACCGCAGAAUUGCACUUAAAACUGACUCGCUAGAGUGCAGGAGAGGUGAGUGGAAUUCCUAGUGUAGCGGUGGAAUGCGUAGAUAUUAGGAGGAACACCGGUGGCGAAGGCGGCUUACUGGACUGUAACUGACGUUGAGGCUCGAAAGCGUGGGGAGCAAACAGGAUUAGAUACCCUUGUAGUC